CCUACGGGUGGCAGCAGUGAGGAAUAUUGGUCAAUGGGCGGGAGCCUGAACCAGCCAAGCCGCGUGAAGGAUGACUGCGCCAAGCGUCGUAAACUUCUUUUGUCGGGGAACAAAGGGCGCCACGUGUGCCGUUUUGAGUGUACCCGAAGAAAAAGCAUCGGCUAACUCCGUGCCAGCAGCCGCGGUAAUACGGAGGAUGCGAGCGUUAUCCGGAUUUAUUGGGUUUAAAGGGUGCGUAGGCGGUGCGGAAAGUCAGCGGUAAAAGCCCGGGGCUCAACCACGGCGAGCCGUUGAAACUGGCGGAGUAGAGACGGCGAGAAGUACGCGGAAUGCGCGGUGUAGCGGUGAAAUGCAUAGAUAUCGCGCAGAACUCCGAUUGCGAAGGCAGCGUACCGGCGCCGGACUGACGCUGAGGCACGAAAGCGUGGGUAUCGAACAGGAUUAGAUACCCUGGUAGUC
rnacentral:rRNA from 1 species